AAUCGUCACAUAGUAUUCUCUAGAUUAAAAUGGCGUUAUUUUAUAAAUUAAUUAAUUUAACAUACAUCGGUCAGAGGCGAUUUUCUUUUCGUGUUACUAGUGCCGGAAAUUAACUUACACGAGACGAAAAGAAGUACAUCCAAGCCUCGAAUUAUUAACAAGAAACUUGACUUCGACUGUAAAUCGAACCCUGAUUCCGUAGAUCAAUAGCCAGUAUCGCACUAACUGAACUACCAAGCUAAUCAAAACUCUUAAACUUUUAGCCCAAUCUUUUUAAGUCCUACCAAUCAAAUUAAAUCUUGUAUGAAAUUUCCGUAUUCUAUUUGAUUCUCCGACAUCGAAUUUGUGCAUCACGGCGACCACAAUAAUUCACUUUACAAUAGUUGUGACUUAAGAUAACAGAUUACCUUAAAAUAAGUCGUUUGAUUAGAUUCCGUAAGAACUACGUUCAUAAUAGACUGGACACUGUGGGCGAAGGCCUGACAAGGAAAAUUAUGGACAUAUCGUUUCGAACCAAGAUAUCUAACACUGUCGCAAAAGUUAUAGAAACAGUGUUUGGAGACGAACAGUAAAGGCACGAGUAGAACAUAAAAUAUCCUUAAGAAGACAUGUCAGAUAAGCCCAUUCGGAAAAACUAAGAUAUUAUUCGUAUGCGAUUAGGACCACAGGAGAAUCUACAUGAGCGAUGAUCUGUGUCCUCGACCGAACCUCCGGACGUCCGGUGUCCGCCGUUAAACGAGCACAAAACAUCGCAAAAUGUGACAAAAAGGGCCUAAACGGGAACAGGAUGUGAAACGUUACAACAGAAUAUUAUGACAACGAACAAAAUUUAGUUUUCGGAUAAAUAUACCAUUUGACACCCUAUACCUAUAUAAUGAAAAUAAGAAACGCAACAUUAAACCCUCAAAGUAAUUACAAUCGCUCAUUCUGUUUAUUUGAAAGAGACUUAUGAAAAUUUAGAAACAUUGUUAGAUAAAAUUGGAUAUGAAAAACACGGUUGGCAGCUUUGUGGAGAUCUAAAAAUUAUAACCAUGAUAUUAGGCCAGCAGUCAGGAUAUACAAAAUUUCCAUGCUUCUUGUGCGAGUGGGACAGUAGAGCACGAGACAAGCAUUACGUACAAAAACAAUGGAAUCCUCGUAAAAAUCUCAACGUAGGAACAAAAAACGUUAUACGAAAAAAAAAUAUUAGUCCUGAAAAAAUUUUACUACCUCCGCUUCAUAUCAAACUCGGUAUGAUGAAACAGUUCGUUAAAGCAUUGGAUAAAAACAAUGCUAGUUUUGAAUACCUGUGUAAAAAAAUUCCAAGAUUAUCUGAUGCAAAAAUUAAAGAAGGAGUGUUCGAUGGAACGCAAAUCAGAUCUUUGAUGGCUGAUGAAAAAUUUGAUGCCACAAUGAAUAACACUGAAUCAGAUGCUUGGCUGGCGUUCAAAGAUGUUGUCAACAAUUUUCUAGGAAAUAAUAAACAUCCCGACUAUAAAAAUAAGGUUGCAAACUUAUUGGAUAAGUAUCAAAAAUUAGGGUGUAAUAUGAGCAUAAAACUCCACUUUCUAGAUGCACAUGUGGACUUUUUUCCUGAUAAUCUUGGUGAUUACAGUGAAGAGCAGGGAGAAAGGUUUCAUCAGGACAUAAAAACUAUGGAGACAAGGUACCAAGGUCGAUGGAAUGUGAAUAUGAUGGCUGAUUACUGCUGGUCACUGACACGUGAUAUUACUGAAGAUACUCACAAAAAAACUACACCCAGACGUAAUUUUGUCGCGAAACGUAAAAGAUGUCACUCUAAAUAGUCCUCUAGCAUUGUUUAGACUCAAUGUUUUCUUUGUAAAUGUUCAAAUAUAUGUUUUUGUAAUACGAU